rnacentral:lncRNA from 1 species
CCAUUUCCAAUUUUCAAUGCCCAAAGGGCACAUUUAGCCUGGCUUAUUCCUGACAAGGAAAAUGUCCUGGGGCAACUCUUCAUGACUUGCCUUCUCACACUGCACAACCCCCACCAACUCUUCUGCCAACACAACCCUGGAACACAGAGCCAGACAGCAUUCUUUCCUUGCAGAACAUUCUGAAGAGGCUAAGAGAUGUGGAAACAAGGUUUACUAGAAACUGUGCAAGCUGUUUCAUAAUCACAAUGUUGAGAACUGGAAAGGAUGAUCCUUUUUAAAGUUGGGGAACCACUAGCCCAACAUCGCCAUGAGGGGAAAUAGAGGCCGUGUCAGCCCCAACCAUCAAAGGAGACCUUUGUGCACUGGGUUUGCUGUAAAUGACAGAAGCCACUUCAAAAGCCUCUUUGGAGCUGUUCAGUAAAAUGCUCAGGGAACACCUGGGCACACUCAGGCAAGAUAAACCACACAGACACCUCGCAGACAGACCUCCCAGGACAGAGGGACAGCAACAAGACUCCAAAAGCAACUUGAAGUUUUGGCAGCAUGAUCAUCCACAGAGUGAAGUUCAACAUUCAGUCAAGAAGAAUCAUUCUGAUUACUUAAUUGGAAGAUCUGAUACUUCUGAAAUGAAACAUUUCACAAACUCUACUGAAAUAAGAAAUACUUUUGAUUUAUUUUUUAAAAAAUGAAUCAUUGGUUAUGGAAAGAACUAUAUGGUCUUGCAGACAGGACAAAGUUAAAGAUGUUUUGCAAGCUUAACACAACCAAAUCUGAUUUGAGAAUUAUUUUGAGGCUUGCAGCUCUGUUUGUGGCAUAAAUAUAUACAUACAUACAUACGCAGGUAUAUAUGUAUGCAAAAAUGCUUAUUGACUGUGGAAAUGACAGUUUAAGUCACUCUGUAUUUCUUUUUUCCAUGAGUCUAAUAUUGAAUUACGAUGAUUCAAAGGCUCUCAGAGUGUUGUGCUAACAUCGUAAAUGGCUAAACAUCCAAAAAAGAAAACAAUUAAAACACAACGCACACACAAUUUUCUUAAAGUUGUGGAAAAUUAGGUAGGCACAGUUGAUUGUUUUGAGCUGGUAGAAAAACCUGGGCAGCUAGCAGAGGUCUGGACAACCACGGAAAGCCCACAGCAAGGACCACACCGUGAGCAGCCACCAGAGAUUUGGGAUGGUAGACUUACCAAGAGUGUCCACUGGCGGGGGGGCACACGGUGAGAAAGUGCAGGAUACACAAUUGACACAAAAAGGAAAAUAAUAAAGUCAAACUGGUAUUCAAGCAGCAGCAGUCUUACCUUUGUUUCAUGUGUUAAACAGUCCAUGGCUCGCCACCAAAUUUUCUAUUAGGGCUGAUUAAACCCACAUCCACAUUCCCCUUCUCUGCCUUACUAAUAUCUUCCUUCCUUCUCAUCUAAACAAAACCUUCCCAGUUAGUAAUGACCACCCCUAGAG